UUGAACGCUGGCGGCAGGCCUAACACAUGCAAGUCGAGCGGUAGCACAGAGAGCUUGCUCUCGGGUGACGAGCGGCGGACGGGUGAGUAAUGUCUGGGAAACUGCCUGAUGGAGGGGGAUAACUACUGGAAACGGUAGCUAAUACCGCAUAAUGUCGCAAGACCAAAGUGGGGGACCUUCGGGCCUCAUGCCAUCAGAUGUGCCCAGAUGGGAUUAGCUAGUAGGUGGGGUAACGGCUCACCUAGGCGACGAUCCCUAGCUGGUCUGAGAGGAUGACCAGCCACACUGGAACUGAGACACGGUCCAGACUCCUACGGGAGGCAGCAGUGGGGAAUAUUGCACAAUGGGCGCAAGCCUGAUGCAGCCAUGCCGCGUGUGUGAAGAAGGCCUUCGGGUUGUAAAGCACUUUCAGCGGGGAGGAAGGCGUUAAGGUUAAUAACCUUGGCGAUUGACGUUACCCGCAGAAGAAGCACCGGCUAACUCCGUGCCAGCAGCCGCGGUAAUACGGAGGGUGCAAGCGUUAAUCGGAAUUACUGGGCGUAAAGCGCACGCAGGCGGUCUGUCAAGUCGGAUGUGAAAUCCCCGGGCUCAACCUGGGAACUGCAUUCGAAACUGGCAGGCUAGAGUCUUGUAGAGGGGGGUAGAAUUCCAGGUGUAGCGGUGAAAUGCGUAGAGAUCUGGAGGAAUACCGGUGGCGAAGGCGGCCCCCUGGACAAAGACUGACGCUCAGGUGCGAAAGCGUGGGGAGCAAACAGGAUUAGAUACCCUGGUAGUCCACGCCGUAAACGAUGUCGAUUUGGAGGUUGUGCCCUUGAGGCGUGGCUUCCGGAGCUAACGCGUUAAAUCGACCGCCUGGGGAGUACGGCCGCAAGGUUAAAACUCAAAUGAAUUGACGGGGGCCCGCACAAGCAGUGGAUUAUGUGGUUUAAUUCGAAGCAACGCGAAGAACCUUACCAGGGCUUGACAUCCAACUAACGAAGCAGAGAUGCAUUAGGUGCCCUUCGGGGAAAGUUGAGACAGGUGGUGCAUGGUUGUCGUCAGCUCGUGUCGUGAGAUGUUGGGUUAAGUCCCGCAACGAGCGCAACCCUUAUCCUUUGUUGCCAGCGGUUAGGCCGGGAACUCAAAGGAGACUGCCAGUGAUAAACUGGAGGAAGGUGGGGAUGACGUCAAGUCAUCAUGGCCCUUACGACCAGGGCUACACACGUGCUACAAUGGCAUAUACAAAGAGAAGCGACCUCGCGAGAGCAAGCGGACCUCAUAAAGUAUGUCGUAGUCCGGAUUGGAGUCUGCAACUCGACUCCAUGAAGUCGGAAUCGCUAGUAAUCGUAGAUCAGAAUGCUACGGUGAAUACGUUCCCGGGCCUUGUACACACCGCCCGUCACACCAUGGGAGUGGGUUGCAAAAGAAGUAGGUAGCUUAACCUUCGGGAGGGCGCUUACCACUUUGUGAUUCAUGACUGGGGUG
rnacentral:rRNA from 1 species